CCCAAACCCUAGGUAGAAACCCUAGGGUACACACUAGAAACCCUGCUCUCAAUUUUCUUUCUUUUCUUUCUUUUUCUCUCGAAAGGUUUUGGACCUUCACCUUGCGCACAAACUUUCCCCACACCCCAAAGUUUCUCUACUAAAAUUUCUACGCACGUCUCACCUUUCUCCUCUUUUUAAAACAACGUCGAACAUCUCUUAUCCGCAUGAGAGGAUAAAGAUAAGUGGUUGCAUAUUUGAAUUCAAAUCAAAUUUGAAUUCAAAUGCAAAACCAACUCAUCCCUAUCCACUUGUGCAUGAGAAGAGAAGGGGCGUGAGUUGAUUUGUGCAUGG
rnacentral:lncRNA from 1 species